GGUAAACGCUGACAGAAUGCUUAACACAUGCAAGUCGAUGAUGGGAAGCUAAGCCUAGCUUAGAAGAAGUCAUGGCGGACGGGUGAGUAACGUGUAAAGAACUUGCCCUCUAGACUGGGAUAACAGAUAGAAAUGUCUGAUAAUACCGGAUAUUAUUGUUACAUGGCAUCAUGUAGGAAUGAAAGGAUAAGAUUGCUAGAGGAGAGCUUUGCAUCCUAUUAGCUAGUUGGUAAGAUAGCGGCUUACCAGGGCGAUGAUAGGUAGCCGGCCUGAGAGGGUGGACGGCCACAAGGGGACUGAGAUACGGCCCUU
rnacentral:rRNA from 1 species